GGCUCAGGACGAACGCUGGCGGCGUGCCUAAUACAUGCAAGUCGAACGCUUCUUUUUCCACCGGAGCUUGCUCCACCGGAAAAAGAGGAGUGGCGAACGGGUGAGUAACACGUGGGUAACCUGCCCAUCAGAAGGGGAUAACACUUGGAAACAGGUGCUAAUACCGUAUAACAAUCGAAACCGCAUGGUUUUGAUUUGAAAGGCGCUUUCGGGUGUCGCUGAUGGAUGGACCCGCGGUGCAUUAGCUAGUUGGUGAGGUAACGGCUCACCAAGGCCACGAUGCAUAGCCGACCUGAGAGGGUGAUCGGCCACAUUGGGACUGAGACACGGCCCAAACUCCUACGGGAGGCAGCAGUAGGGAAUCUUCGGCAAUGGACGAAAGUCUGACCGAGCAACGCCGCGUGAGUGAAGAAGGUUUUCGGAUCGUAAAACUCUGUUGUUAGAGAAGAACAAGGAUGAGAGUAACUGUUCAUCCCUUGACGGUAUCUAACCAGAAAGCCACGGCUAACUACGUGCCAGCAGCCGCGGUAAUACGUAGGUGGCAAGCGUUGUCCGGAUUUAUUGGGCGUAAAGCGAGCGCAGGCGGUUUCUUAAGUCUGAUGUGAAAGCCCCCGGCUCAACCGGGGAGGGUCAUUGGAAACUGGGAGACUUGAGUGCAGAAGAGGAGAGUGGAAUUCCAUGUGUAGCGGUGAAAUGCGUAGAUAUAUGGAGGAACACCAGUGGCGAAGGCGGCUCUCUGGUCUGUAACUGACGCUGAGGCUCGAAAGCGUGGGGAGCAAACAGGAUUAGAUACCCUGGUAGUCCACGCCGUAAACGAUGAGUGCUAAGUGUUGGAGGGUUUCCGCCCUUCAGUGCUGCAGCUAACGCAUUAAGCACUCCGCCUGGGGAGUACGACCGCAAGGUUGAAACUCAAAGGAAUUGACGGGGGCCCGCACAAGCGGUGGAGCAUGUGGUUUAAUUCGAAGCAACGCGAAGAACCUUACCAGGUCUUGACAUCCUUUGACCACUCUAGAGAUAGAGCUUCCCCUUCGGGGGCAAAGUGACAGGUGGUGCAUGGUUGUCGUCAGCUCGUGUCGUGAGAUGUUGGGUUAAGUCCCGCAACGAGCGCAACCCUUAUUGUUAGUUGCCAUCAUUCAGUUGGGCACUCUAGCAAGACUGCCGGUGACAAACCGGAGGAAGGUGGGGAUGACGUCAAAUCAUCAUGCCCCUUAUGACCUGGGCUACACACGUGCUACAAUGGGAAGUACAACGAGUCGCGAAGUCGCGAGGCUAAGCUAAUCUCUUAAAGCUUCUCUCAGUUCGGAUUGCAGGCUGCAACUCGCCUGCAUGAAGCCGGAAUCGCUAGUAAUCGCGG
rnacentral:rRNA from 1 species